rnacentral:pre_miRNA from 1 species
UACCACCCCUGCAAUACCAAUCCAUACAACGUUUGAUUCUUCGUCUUAUUUAUUUUUUAAUGGUAAAUAUUCUUAUUGUUAUUAGAUGAUAAAACAUGAAUAAUACUUUAUGUAUGCCUAUUUUAUUAAAAAAAUAUAAAAUUUUCAAAUAAAACGGAUGGUCAAAUGUUGGAUACAGAAAUACAAAAAUGAACUUAAU